AACGAACGCUGGCGGCAUGCCUAACACAUGCAAGUCGAACGAGACCUUCGGGUCUAGUGGCGCACGGGUGCGUAACGCGUGGGAACCUGCCCUUAGGUUCGGAAUAACUCCCCGAAAGGGGUGCUAAUACCGGAUAAUGUCUUCGGACCAAAGAUUUAUCGCCUUUGGAUGGGCCCGCGUUGGAUUAGCUAGUUGGUAGGGUAAAAGCCUACCAAGGCGACGAUCCAUAGCUGGUCUGAGAGGAUGAUCAGCCACACUGGGACUGAGACACGGCCCAGACGCCUACGGGAGGCAGCAGUGGGGAAUAUUGGACAAUGGGCGAAAGCCUGAUCCAGCAAUGCCGCGUGAGUGAUGAAGGCCUUAGGGUUGUAAAGCUCUUUUACCCGGGAUGAUAAUGACAGUACCGGGAGAAUAAGCGCCGGCUAACUCCGUG
rnacentral:rRNA from 1 species